CGUGUAGGCGGCUAAGUAGGUCCGCUGUGAAAACUCGAGGCUUAACCUCGAGCCGUCGGUGGAAACCAUUUGGCUAGAGUCCGGAAGAGGAGAGCGGAAUUCCCGGUGUAGCGGUGAAAUGCGCAGAUAUCGGGAAGAACACCCGUGGCGAAGGCGGCUCUCUGGGACGGUACUGACGCUGAGACGCGAAAGCGUGGGGAGCAAACA
rnacentral:rRNA from 1 species